rnacentral:lncRNA from 1 species
GAAUGGGAAGAACGGUCGGGAGGUCGGAUCUCCACCUUCCUGAAAACAUAAGGCAGAAGAGUCAGGACGUAAAAAAAAAAUUUGCGACUAAAAGAGCACAGUCUAGAGGUGCGAGAGAACGUACUUCGAGCGAUUCGAUCUUUAAGCCCACAGAUCCUUUCCACGGAUAUCUCAGACCAGCGAUAGACUCGAAGCAGAGCG